rnacentral:rRNA from 1 species
GACGAACGCUGGCGGCGUGCCUAAUACAUGCAAGUUGAGCGCUGAAGGUUGGUACUUGUACCGACUGGAUGAGCAGCGAACGGGUGAGUAACGCGUGGGGAAUCUGCCUUUGAGCGGGGGACAACAUUUGGAAACGAAUGCUAAUACCGCAUAAAAACUUUAAACACAAGUUUUAAGUUUGAAAGAUGCAAUUGCAUCACUCAAAGAUGAUCCCGCGUUGUAUUAGCUAGUUGGUGAGGUAAAGGCUCACUAAGUCGAUGAUACAUAGCCGACCUGUGAGGGUGAUCGGCCACAUUGGGACUGAGACACGGCCCAAACUCCUACGGGAGGCAGCAGUAGGGAAUCUUCGGCAAUGGACGAAAGUCUGACCGAGCAACGCCGCGUGAGUGAAGAAGGUUUUCGGAUCGUAAAACUCUGUUGGUAGAGAAGAACGUUGGUGAGAGUGGAAAGCUCAUCAAGUGACGGUAACUACCCAGAAAGGGACGGCUAACUACGUGCCAGCCGCCGCGGUAA